rnacentral:sRNA from 1 species
UCAACUACACCAAUCUUGCCGCUGUCAUUGGGCUCAAACUUGGGUAAAUUGGCUGGCACUGCGUCUUUCUGAAGCAGAGAAAGAAGAGAACCAACCCUUGCCAUCACCCGUUUCUCAUCUGAGGCUGGUGCAACAUGUGAGUCGCUCAAAAGCUGCUGGGUAAUCUUCUCCAACAAUUCAUUGGAUGAUGCCUCACUAAUGGGCAAUGAAGGGUUAUUCCCUGCAGGCUUUUGCUCAACUAUGCAAUCAUCUAGAUGGCUUAACAAGUCAUCUAUGGACAAGGAUCUAGCUUGACUCAAUGAGUUGGGGUGAGGGCUCUUUAGUUCUUGAGAUACAUCAACUUGCAAAUCUACAUCACUGGCUCCUGAAAACAUUUAAUAUUAGAUAAUUAGAUAGAUAUAAAAAUGACUGUUGUUGGUUCGCAAUAUCGUCCUUCAUUCCAUCCUUUUUAGACAUUAAAGGAAAAUCACAUGGUGAUACAUGAUCAAUAUACUUGGAUAAGUGGGAUUCAUGUUCACCUUCCAAGUAACUAAAACCAUGAUAGCUCUUUGAUUUAUUUGGAUUUUCGAAUAUAGAGCCUUCCGUUUUAGGUCUGAAAACAGGAGAGUCUAUCAUAUAUGGUUGGAGGCUUAAAUAAUUUAGUCGCUGAUCACACUGAAUAAGCUUUUCAAAGUUCUUGCUUAAUAAACUUGAUUGACACUGUUUAUGCUUGCUUGCCCACCAGUGAAAUCUGAUGCAACUUGCCACAGUGUAUGUUUUCUUGGUUGAGGAUCAGUCUCUUUGAAGAAAGUUGGUGGAACUUACCACAAGAUCCAGGGUUCCAAUUCCAUUCUCAGGGCAAGUUGCCUUCAAAGCAAUAAUAUCUGACCACUGAAUUUCUAUCUUUCUCUUGAGACCAGCAUCCAGAACUUCCCAGACAAGCUUAUGCUUAGCAAAGUAGCAUUUUGCCACCAAAUCACCUUCAUACUGAAAUCUCUUACCUCCCAAGUGCCAAUUUUCAAAAAAUCUGCAGCAAAGUUGGAAGCUUUCACUCGUUCACUAGCAAUAAGAGACCUAGAUUUUAUGUCUUCCUUUUUUGUAUUUUCCAUUGCC